GCCUGGGUGGCUCAGUCGGUUGAGUGUCCGACUUCAGCUCGGAUCAUGAUCUCACAGUCUGUGGGUUCAAGCCCCGUGUCGGGCU
rnacentral:tRNA from 1 species